AUGCUUUUUAAAACGUUAAAAUUAAUCCAACUACUACUUCUCAUUUAUGAAUAUAUAAAUAUUCAAUGUUUUAAAAUGACGGAAUCCGAAAGUCACUCUUCAAUGGUUGAAUAAAUAUUUGACAGUAGUCCGUACUCCGUAGCUUGCAUCUCUUUCAAAUACCUCAUUUUCUGCAAAUUAAAUAAACAUAGAUUACCAGCACCAAAAGUCCCCUAGAUCUUCACGAAAACACCUAGGACACAAAUAUAAUUAGAAUACCUAAGAUUACCUAAUUAAUUCAAUUAAUGCCAGACCAGUAUUUUUUAAAUCACGCUUGACCGUGGCCUAAUCAUUAAAUUUGAGGAAACAUGCAAAUCAAACAGACUAAUACAGAGAUUAAAGUUGAAGGUUCUCAGCUACAAAGUAAAAGACUUAUAACUAAAGUUUCUGCAGAUCAACAAUAACAAAUAACACAUCUUUUAUUUAGCUGUCGCACUCUGCUUAGUUGAUAACAUGAAUCAGACAUAGAAGAGACAAAGCAUGUUGACUAACAUGAAAUCGUAUAAAUUUACAAUUGUACCAUCAUAAGGGAAUGAGACCAAAUGUAAAAGAUAUAAGAAAUAAUUGGUGACUUCCCCAACAGCCUAUUUUACAUACCAGUGUGUAAUAUUAUGAUCAGGUGAAAGCUUGUAUAUAACUUUUCUUGCAUGGAAACAAUUUGUUCCCCUGUACAUUGGCCCUUGAAUUCCUGCCAGUCGAUGACCUAUAAACUAUACAGUUUAUGCAAAAAUAAUUAAUAAUUUAAGUCCAGGUGAAGGCAUGUGUGUAUGAGAGCUUAUAUUCUUAUAAUUGACCAUAAUGCAAAUAAUGCAAAAAAGAGUAUAAUAAAUAAAUGAUCCGAGUUUCCGAUCACUAAGAACUCCCGCCCACCCUCACACACAUAAAUGAAACACAGGGACUAAAAUCCAAACAAAUAGAUAAAAUGUCAUAUUUAAAACUCUUCAUACAUUAUAUCCAUCCAUCCAAAAUCGAUAAAACGUCAUAUUUUAAACCUCCAAAAUGGGAAAUACACAUUACUAUCAAGUACACACACAUACAUUAUAUCCAUCCAAAAUCGAAGCCAAUUUUGCCUACAUUCAUAUUCAAAUAUACACAUAUUGCACCCUGGCAAAACUGACGUCAUUAUUGGCAAGACUCGAACAAAUACCCCCUAUGUAGGUACUGAAAAUAAGUGAUUAAAAAUUUUGCAUAUAGUUGUUAAUACACUAUAUUACUCACAAAUAGUGUGUUUAUCUAAACUCGUGCAUUGUCAAAUCUAUUGAUUUGCUACAAAUCAGAAUGAUAUAGGGAAGUAGAAUUGAUUUUGGAACCAAAGGGCGUAGAGCACCAUUUACAAAGAUUCUGUCAUGAUAUAUAUAUAUUCUUCAAAUUUAUAUAUAUAUAUAUAUAUGUGUGUGUGUGUGUGUGUGUGUGUGUGUGUGUGUGUGUGUGUGUGUUACAACUCUAUAUAUAUAAAGGGGGAGGGUUCUGGUACAAACUUACAAACUUUUUUUGUUCAACAUAUAUAUAACUGGAGUUCAACAUUUUUUUAACAUAUCUUGUUGAACAUCGACUAAAAUAGUGGUGGAGAAGUACAUAAACAAAUUUUUAAAUGUAAGAACUAAGGUAAACAUGUUAUAUAACUAAUAUUUAUGUUUCUAGACCCUACCCAAACCCUAGAGGUAUAGUUUAAACAUCUUUUUAGAUAUAUUCAACACAAUGAUAAUUAGUGUUCAACACCCGAUGUUGAACCCCAGUUAUAAAUGUGUUGAAAACGCGAUUUAUUUAUGCGUUAUUUUUAAAAAUUGUGAUGUUUUUUGAAGAAUUUUCAACAUGGAUACUUUAUAUAACUAAGGAUUAACACGAUGGGAGAAUAAAAAAAAGUUUGUAAGUUUGUAACUAAAAAAAGUUUUUAUUUGAUCCUAUCCCUAUAUAUAUAUAUAUAUAUAUAUAAAUAUAUAUAUAUAUGUCUGCAAGUCUAUAACUAAAAAUAAAAAACAGACACUUCAGAUAAAAUAGUGGAGCAGCAUUGUUUGCUAGGAUAAGCUAAUAUUUCGAUUGAAAGUUUAAAAAAAGCUUGCAAUCAUCACACUAAUAAUGAGAUGCAUUACAAUAUGUCAAAAAACUUGCCUUGAAGAAUCCCUCCACUUAUCACUUAUUGUGGCUCCAUUACUACAACCUGGAAACAACAAUGCAUUGUAAUAUAAAAUAACAAUCAUAACUAAUCUACUACAUAAAUCUAUAUAUACUUGGACAAUAUUCUCAUAUGAAGACUAAAUCGUUAAUAAAAAUUUCAAAAUCAUACAAAAACACACUAAUAUAAUGAAAAAUCAUAUCAAAUCAUUCCACAAUUAUAUAUAACUAAAAUAAAUCUAAAGAUCAAUAUCAUAUCAAGCUCUUAUAUCAAAUACUUGAUGAGUAAACUAACCUCGCAAAACAUUAAAUCUGCAAAAAGACAGAAACUUGUGUUUGGACUUUUAUCAAACACUUCCCGUGCUAAUAAAAUUAAGAGAUUCACCUAAAAGUUCCACAAAUAUAGAAAUGGGGAAAGACAUUGAGGAGAAGAAUAUACCUUCUCAUGAUUGCAAAAGAGGCUGACAAUCACUAAAUUAAUCUAUAGAAGUAGCGGUAAUCUCUUCUUUCUCGAUGAUGAGAUCGCGACAAAGCCCAUGAAAGUGUGUUAACUGAUGUGCUCAAAAUAUGAUUUUAAUCGCAAGUGCACGAUCCCGUUUUAGUAAUAUAAGAUUCGUUCCAAGGACUAAAUUUAUUUUCGCGAAAACUUAAUUUCUAAUUUAAUCGAAUUAGACAAAAGAUUUUUGGAGAGGUUUUGAUUUAUCUAAAUUAAAACUAAAAGCUAAUGCCUAAAAUCUAAAUUAUAAAUUCAUGAUUAAUAUCUACUAAAGAAAAUGACUAAUCGACAAUUAACUAGUUACAACGGGAAUAACGAUUAAUAUCUAUAACCAAAACAAAAAAAUAAAUUAUAAAACAAAAAUAAAAUAAAAUAAAACAGUACGCGUGCGUGAAUGAAAACAAUACAGUGAAUAAGUUAAGUUUAUCUUAGUGUGAACACGCGUAAAACUAAAACGAUAAACAGAAACAGAGAAAAAGGGGCGGCGCUGGUGGCGGACAAGAAAGUAUAACCCCGCCGGAAUUUAUGAGAGUGCCCGGGAUAGCUUAAAUCUCGCCGGAAAAUUAAUUUUACUGGAAAAUCUAGCUAUUCCAACUAUAACAAAUAAAAACCCACUAAACUCUAAACCAAAUUUAACAAUAAAUUCUACACUAAAUAGUCUCUAAACUACCCAUUUUUUUACAAAACAAGACCCAAAUCAAACCAAAUCAACUCUAAACUACACCAAAUUUCAAAUCUAGCCUAAACAUAAUAUUUUCAACAUAAACCCACUAACCUCAAGUCAAAAUCAUAAACUAAAAUUUACACCCAAAAGCCCCAAAAUCAAGAACAAAGAGAACACCAAAUCUUACCAAACUAACUCCAAAUCACACAAAACUUCAAAACUAGCUUAUCUACCAAGUCUCUAACAAAACCCCAUCAAACUACAAGCUAAAAUCAAAAUCCAGAAUACUAAACCAUUGAACCCACUAAUAAUAUUGAGAAUUAAAAGGGGCUCAAUCUAAAUACUAAAAAAUGCAAGCGUAAAACAUAUAAUUAGGCUCCUUUCAAUCCACAAGUAAUUUUGAGUCUCAUGUGGUUAGAGAAAGAUUUCAUAGCCUAGAAGUAAAAGUAAAGAGCAAGAUUUAAGAACAAAAAUGAAUACUUGUAUUGAUAUAAUAAAAGUGUUUACAAAUUUAGAGUGCUACUACUAGAUCUACUACAUAAAAAAGAGGCUACUAAAAAUAUGAAAUCCUAGGUAGGUUGAAACAUGAUGGGGAGGUGUGUAUUUAUAAGGGGAAAUUAGGGUAGAGGGGGGGUGUAGGUGUCCCAUCUAGAUGCUUCCUUGAGAAUAUUCCCCUAUGAUCCUUUUCUUCCAUCUUUUUCUCUUUUUUGC
rnacentral:lncRNA from 1 species